rnacentral:rRNA from 1 species
CAGUCGCCGCGGGAAUACGUAGGUGGCAAGCGUUAUCCGGAAUUAUUGGGCGUAAAGCGCGCGUAGGCGGUUUUUUAAGUCUGAUGUGAAAGCCCACGGCUCAACCGUGGAGGGUCAUUGGAAACUGGAAAACUUGAGUGCAGAAGAGGAAAGUGGAAUUCCAUGUGUAGCGGUGAAAUGCGCAGAGAUAUGGAGGAACACCAGUGGCGAAGGCGACUUUCUGGUCUGUAACUGACGCUGAUGUGCGAAAGCGUGGGGAUCAAACAGGAUUAGAUACCCCAGUAGUCCCUGUCUCUUAUAC